CAACCUGCCCACCACUUGGGGAUAACCUUGCGAAAGUAAGACUAAUACCCAAUGACGUCUCUAGAAGACAUCUGAAAGAGAUUAAAGAUUUAUCGGUGAUGGAUGGGGAUGCGUCUGAUUAGCUUGUUGGCGGGGUAACGGCCCACCAAGGCGACGAUCAGUAGGGGUUCUGAGAGGAAGGUCCCCCACAUUGGAACUGAGACACGGUCCAAACUCCUACGGGAGGCAGCAGUGAGGAAUAUUGGUCAAUGGGCGAGAGCCUGAACCAGCCAAGUAGCGUGCAGGAUGACGGCCCUAUGGGUUGUAAACUGCUUUUAUAAGGGAAUAAAGUGAGUCUCGUGAGGCUUUUUGCAUGUACCUUAUGAAUAAGGACCGGCUAAUUCCGUGCCAGCAGCCGCGGUAAUACGGAAGGUCCGGGCGUUAUCCGGACUUAUUGGGUUUAAAGGGAGCGUAGGCCGGAGAUUAAGCGUGUUGUGAAAUGUAGACGCUCAACGUCUGCACUGCAGCGCGAACUGGUUUCCUUGAGUACGCACAAAGUGGGCGGAAUUCGUGGUGUAGCGGUGAAAUGCUUAGAUAUCACGAAGAACUCCGAUUG
rnacentral:rRNA from 1 species